rnacentral:rRNA from 1 species
AUACGGAUGGUGCAAGCGUUAUUCGGAAUCACUGGGCAUAAAGAGCACGUAGGCGGCAGCAUAAGUCAGUGGUGAAAUCCCUCAGCUCAACUGGGGAACUGCCAUUGAUACUGUGCGGCUAGAAUGCGGGAGGGGCAGACGGAAUUCCAGGUGGAGCGGUGAAAUGCGUAGAUAUCUGGAGGAACGCCAGAGGCGAAAGCGGUCUGCUGGCCCGAAAUUGACGCUGAGGUGCGAAAGCUAGGGGAGCAAACGGGAUUAGAAACCCUUGUAGUCC